rnacentral:rRNA from 1 species
GUGUCAGCCGCCGCGGUAAUACGGAGGGUGCGAGCGUUGUCCGGAAUCACUGGGCGUAAAGGGCGCGUAGGUGGCCCGUUAAGUGGCUGGUGAAAUCCCGGGGCUCAACUCCGGGGCUGCCGGUCAGACUGGCGAGCUAGAGCACGGUAGGGGCAGAUGGAAUUCCCGGUGUAGCGGUGGAAUGCGUAGAUAUCGGGAAGAAUACCAGUGGCGAAGGCGUUCUGCUGGGCCGUUGCUGACACUGAGGCGCGACAGCGUGGGGAGCAAACAGGAUUAGAUACCCCCGUAGUCC